UACGGAGGGGGCUAGCGUUGUUCGGAAUUACUGGGCGUAAAGCGCACGUAGGCGGCUUUGUAAGUUAGAGGUGAAAGCCCGGGGCUCAACUCCGGAACUGCCUUUAAGACUGCAUCGCUAGAAUCGUGGAGAGGUAAGUGGAAUUCCGAGUGUAGAGGUGAAAUUCGUAGAUAUUCGGAAGAACACCAGUGGCGAAGGCGACUUACUGGACACAUAUUGACGCUGAGGUGCGAAAGCGUGGGGAGCAAACAGG
rnacentral:rRNA from 1 species